rnacentral:rRNA from 1 species
UACGUAGGGUGCGAGCGUUAAUCGGAAUUACUGGGCGUAAAGCGUGCGCAGGCGGUGAUGUAAGACCGAUGUGAAAUCCCCGGGCUUAACCUGGGAACUGCAUUGGUGACUGCAUCGCUCGAGUAUGGCAGAGGGGGGUAGGAUUCCACGUGUAGCAGUGAAAUGCGUAGAGAUGUGGAGGAAUACCGAUGGCGAAGGCAGCCCCCUGGGUCAAUACUGACGCUCAUGCACGAAAGCGUGGGGAGCAAACAGG